rfam:Trichomonas vaginalis G3, whole genome shotgun sequence.
GUGCAAUGUGAGUUGGACUGGAAGAAUGUCUAUUACAGAUCCUAAUUGAAGUAGCGAUUAUCCAGGCUUGUAUCCUGGGGGCUGAUGAGGAGUAGGGUUUCUGGACAACUUAAACAGAUCCAGAGUUAGUCGAUCCCUAAUCUCAAUAAUGGGAGAAAGGGAGUACAGUUGAUAUUCUGUAACUGACAACAGUUCGCGGCAACGCAUACUAUUUUUCUCCGCCAAUCUUAUACCGUUGGUAGGGAUCUCUUUCCUACAUGACAGUACUAAUACCCAGGGAAACUGGUCAUCAGGCGAACUGCGGCGUUCUGCUGGCAAAACAUAGCUUCGGUUAUGUCAAUGGCUAUUGGAUUGGUCCAUGAAGCGAAAAAUAGUUUACUGUGUCACUCGUACCGAUAACCGCAUCAGGUCUUCUAGGUAAGUAGCCUAUGGCCAUUGAGGCAUGAUAGUUCAGGGAAUUCGGCCAAUUAGAGCUGUAACUUCGGGAUAAAGCUUGGCUCUGAUGAAAAUCAGAACCGAUUGUUACGCGGAGAGCCCAACUGUUUAAUAAAAACGUAGUGUCGCGCUGUGGUAGUAUAGCCAGUGAACGCGACAUGAAUCCUGCUCAGUGCUGUGUCUGUUAAUAUGGUUCAAGCCAACGAAGCACCGGUAAAUAGCUGGGGUAACUAUGACUCUUAUCAAAGUAGCGAAAUACCUCGUCACUUAAUUAGUGACCUGCAUGAACGGAGCUAUGAGGUUCUCACUGUCCCAAACUGUCUCUCAGCGAACCAACUGUAGUGGGAACGGUCACUAGAUAUCCAGCGGGGAAAGAAGACCCUGUAGAGCUUCACUUUGGUCUAGUCUUGUAUAGUUCCUGCGGGGGUGUAGACUAGGUGGGAGAGCAAUCGAUUCUGAAAAACCACUACCCUGUUUGGAAUUAUGCUUACCUAUCACAAGGAAUAGGACUAGAUAGAAAGUUUGGCUGGGGCGGCACACCUUCGAAAGAGCAGCGAAGGUGUCCUAAAGUUGAGCUUC